rnacentral:rRNA from 1 species
UACAGAGACUGCAAGCGUUAUUCGGAUUCACUGGGCGUAAAGGGUGCGCAGGCGGCCAAGUGUGUUAGGCGUGAAAGCCCCGGGCUCAACCUGGGAGGUGCGCUUGAUACUCGAGGGCUUGAGUGCGGGAGAGGAGAGUGGAAUUCCCAGUGUAGAGGUGAAAUUCGUAGAUAUUGGGAAGAACACCGGUGGCGAAGGCGGCUCUCUGGACCGUAACUGACGCUGAGGCGCGAAAGCGUGGGGAGCAAACAGG